UACGUAGGGUGCAAGCGUUAUCCGGAUUCACUGGGUUUAAAGGGUGCGUAGGUGGACUGGUAAGUCCGUGGUGAAAUCCCCAAGCUUAACUUGGGAACUGCCGUGGAUACUAUCAGUCUUGAAUACUGUGGAGGUAAGCGGAAUAUGUCAUGUAGCGGUGAAAUGCUUAGAUAUGACAUAGAACACCGAUAGCGAAGGCAGCUUGCUACACAAAUAUUGACACUGAGGCACGAAAGCGUGGGGAUCAAACAGG
rnacentral:rRNA from 1 species